UACGUAGGUGGCAAGCGUUGUCCGGAAUUAUUGGGCGUAAAGCGCGCGCAGGCGGCCUCUUAAGUCUGAUGUGAAAGCCCCCGGCUCAACCGGGGAGGGCCAUUGGAAACUGGGAGGCUUGAGUAUAGGAGAGAAGAGUGGAAUUCCACGUGUAGCGGUGAAAUGCGUAGAGAUGUGGAGGAACACCAGUGGCGAAGGCGACUCUUUGGCCUAUAACUGACUCUGAGGCGCGAAAGCGUGGGGAGCAAACAGG
rnacentral:rRNA from 1 species